UACGUAGGGUGCGAGCGUUGUCCGGAUUUAUUGGGCGUAAAGGGCUCGUAGGCGGCCUGUCGCGUCGGGAGUGAAAGCCCACUGCUUAACGGUGGGUCUGCUUCCGGUACGGGCGGGCUGGAGUAUGGCAGGGGAGACUGGAAUUCCUGGUGUAGCGGUGAAAUGCGUAGAGAUUGGAAAGAACACCGAUGGCGAAGGCACUUUACUGGGCUAUUACUAACACUGAGAGACGAAAGCUAGGGUAGCAAAUGGG
rnacentral:rRNA from 1 species